ACCUGGUUGAUCCUGCCAGUAGGCAUACGCUUGUCUCUAAGACUAAGCCAUGCAUGUCAAAGUUCAUACAUUCAUAAUGUGAGACUGCGGAAGGCUCAGUAAAUCAGUUAUAAUCUAUUUGAUUGUUCUUCCCAUUGGAUAACCGUGGGAAAUCUAGAGCUAAUACAUGCAAUUAAUUGAUUGGCCUCAAAAACUAAUCAAAGCAUUUAUUAGAUCAAAACCAACUAUGGAUGGGGGUAAAACUUCAUUCAUAAGGUGAAUCUAGAUAACUUUGCUGAUCGUAUGGCCUUGUGCCGGCGACAUUUCAAUUGAAUUUCUGCCCUAUCAACUUGUUGGUAAGGUAGUGGCUUACCAAGGUUACAACGGGUAACGGGGAAUCAGGGUUCGAUUCCGGAGAGGGAGCCUGAGAAAUGGCUACCACAUCCAAGGGAGGCAGCAGGCGCGCAAAUUACCCAAUCCAGAAUCUGGGAGGUGGUGACGAGAAAUACUAGAUGGUUUCCUCACGGAUGCCAUACUGGAAUGGACGUAAUUUAAGAAAUUCGAUGAGUAACAACUGGAGGGCAAGUCUGGUGCCAGCAGCCGCGGUAAUUCCAGCUCCAGUAGUGUAUCUUAAAGUUGCUGCGUUUAAAACGCUCGUAGUUGGAUUACGCAGUAUAAUCUAGUCGAUUGGUAUGAGGCUGCGCCAAAUUCAAUUGAUCGCACACUUAGCCACGGUUCAUCCUGGUUAUAUGUGUUGUCUCUUGAUGCAGUUCGUGCCGAUUAACAGCUAUUUUAUACUACUUUUUCGUGAGGAUGGCAGUUGACCUUUAUUGCGUCGGCAGUCGUGUCUUACGAAGCGUGCCUUGAAUAAAUCAGAGUGCUUAAAACAGGCUUUUGCUUGAAUAUCGAUAGCAUGGAACGAACAAUUGUGUUAAAUGUGUCCGAUAGAAAGCUAGGGAGGGUUUUAUAUUGGAUGUUGGUUCCGUAUUGGGGUGAUGAUUAAAAGGAGCGGUUGGGGGCAUUGGUAUUUUGCCGCGAGAGGUGAAAUUCUUGGACCGGCAAAGGACUAACAAAUGCGAAGGCAUCUGUCAAGACCGUUUCCAUUAAUCAAGAACGAUAGUGAGAGGUUCGAAGGCGAUCAGAUACCGCCCUAGUUCUCACUGUAAACUAUGCCAACCCGGGAUCAGUUUUGAGCUUUUUUAUGCUCAUGGUUGGUCCCCCUGCGAAACCUCAAGUUUUUAGGUUACGGGGGGAGUAUGGUCGCAAGGCUGAAACUUAAAGGAAUUGACGGAAGGGCACCACCAGGGGUGGAGCCUGCGGCUUAAUUUGACUCAACACGGGAAAACUCACCUGGUCCGGACAUCGAAAGGAUAGACAGACUGAUAGAUCUUUCUUGAUACGGUGGAUGGUGGUGCAUGGCCGUUCUUAGUUCGUGGAGUGAUCUGUCAGGUUGAUUCCGGUAACGGACGAGACCAUAAUUUUCAUUUAAGGAACCAGAGAAGACCAUAGGCGGGUUCGCCCAACUAUGGCGUCAUGGUAGAGGAGUGUGUAUUGUGCUGUAAUCACAUUGAUACGAGGAGCUUCUGUUCUGAGUUGAGGUGUGAGAGUGGUCGAUAUAUCAUUUACUUUCCCUCUGGUCAAACACUGUAGAUCUCACGGUCUAUGGUGUUCUAUGAAAAGACAACCAAGUAUACUUUAGAAGUUGGAGGAAGCUUUUGGCAAUAACAGGUCUGUGAUGCCCUUAGAUGUCCAGGGCCGCACGCGCGCUACAAUGAUAACAACAAUGAGUAUCUGUGUCGAAAGACUUGGGUAAUCUUAUCAAUUGUUAUCGUGAUGGGGAUUGAUCGUUGUAAUUAUCGGUCAUGAAAGAGGAAUCCCUAGUAUGCGUACGUCAUUAGCGUAUGCAGAUUAAGUCCCUGCCCUUUGUACACACCGCCCGUCGCUACUACCGAGUGAAUCGUGUCAUGAUGCCUUGGGACUGGAUAGCAGUCAGGUGUGGUUUCACAUCAGAUUGCUGCUAGGAUCAAUGUAAAAUGGCGCAAUUUCGAGGAAGUAAAAGUCGUAACAAGGUUUCCGUAGGUGAACCUGCGGAAG
rnacentral:rRNA from 1 species